UGGGGAAUAUUGCACAAUGGGGGAAACCCUGAUGCAGCGACGCCGCGUGAACGAAGAAGGUAUUCGUAUCGUAAAGUUCUGUCCUAUGGGAAGAUAAUGACAGUACCAUAGAAGAAAGCUCCGGCUAAAUACGUGCCAGCAGCCGCGGUAAUACGUAUGGAGCGAGCGUUGUCCGGAAUUAUUGGGCGUAAAGGGUACGCAGGCGGUUUAAUAAGUCGAAUGUUAAAGAUCGGGGCUCAACCCCGUAAAGCAUUGGAAACUGAUAAACUUGAGUAGUGGAGAGGAAAGUGGAAUUCCUAGUGUAGUGGUGAAAUACGUAGAUAUUAGGAGGAAUACCAGUAGCGAAGGCGACUUUCUGGACACAAACUGACGCUGAGGUACGAAAGCGUGGGGAGCAAACAGGAUUAGAUACCCUGGUAGUCCACGCCGUAAACGAUGAGUGCUAGGUGUUGGGUCCUUUCCGGGACUCAGUGCCGCAGCUAACGCAUUAAGCACUCCGCCUGGGGAGUACGACCGCAAGGUUG
rnacentral:rRNA from 1 species